rnacentral:rRNA from 1 species
UAGAGUUUGAUCCCUGCUCAGGAGAAAGCUGGGGGGGUGCUAACAUGCAAGUCGAGCGGAAGGCUUUCGGGGGUACACGAGCGGCGAACGGGUGAGUACACGUGGGUGAUCGUCUGCACUUCGGGAUAAGCCUGGGAAACUGGGUCUAAUACCGGAUAUGACCGCAGGUGCAUGGUCUGUGGUGGAAAGAUUUAUCGGUGCAGGAUGGGCCACGGCCUAUCAGCUUGUUGGUGGGGUAAUGGCCUACCAAGGCGACGACGGGUAGCCGACCUGAGAGGGUGACCGGCCACACUGGGACUGAGACACGGCCCAGACUACUACGGGAGGCAGCAGUGGGGAAUAUUGCACAAUGGACGAAAGCCUGAUGAACGCGCCGCGUGAGGGAUGACGGGCUUCGGGUUGUAACCUCUUCAGCAGGACGAAGGCAAGUGACGGUACAGAGAAAGCCCCG